GCGCCCGUAGCUCAGCUGGAUAGAGUAACUGGCUUCGAACCAGUUGGUCGCACGUUCGAAUCGUGCCGGGCGCACCA
rnacentral:tRNA from 1 species